rnacentral:rRNA from 1 species
UACGUAGGGGGGCAAGCGUUGUCCGGAUUUAUUGGGCGUAAAGAGCUCGUAGGCGGUUUGUCACGUCGGCUGUGAAAACCCGAGGCUCAACCUCGGGCCCUGCAGUCGAUACGGGCGAGACUAGAGUGCGUGUAGGGGAGACUGGAAUUCCUGGUGUGAGCGGUGAAAUGCGCAGAUAUCAGGAGGAACACCCGUGGCGAAGGCGGCUCUCUGGGACGGUACUGACGCUGAGACGCGAAAGCGUGGGGAGCGAACAGGA